rnacentral:ncRNA from 1 species
AUUCAUCUUCGGGGCAGGGUGUAAUUCCCGACCGGCGGUAAUAAACGAUGUAAUCUCCGACCGUAAUGGAGGACAUUACAACAAUCGUUUCGAGCCCGCGAGCCGAAAUUUAUUUCGUGCAGGAUUUGGUGCAAUUCCAAAGCCGACAGUAUAGUCUGGAUGGGAGAAGGUGAAG